GCCUGAGUGCAGGACUCUCAUCUGUAAAGAGGAGACUUUGCCUCUUCCCUCAGGAUUUGUCUUCUCAACCUCGGGUUUAGACCCAGACUCCUUGUGUUUAUUCCCAGAAGAUGCAUCUGUGGCUCCAGGUCUCCAUAGCAGCCCAGCAGCCUCACCAGGAUUCAGCGGCUCCUGUUUCAGUGAACCACUCUUAUUAGGUGCUGUGAGUGUUUUCCGUGGGACCUUGAAGCUCUUAGGUUCCAUCCUGACUGACCUGAGGAUGCAGUUGGGGUACGCAGCCCCACAGAAAGGAUCUGUCUCUGUUACUUUUCUUCUUAUUUAUUCUGUUUUAUUUUGAGACAAGGUCUGUCUGCACUGCUCUGGCUGUCCUGGAACUCACUAUGCAGACCAAACUGCACUUGAAGUCACAGAGAUACAUGGCCUUUGCAUCCUGAGGGCUGGGUGUCACAGUUUCCCUUUCAUUGUUGUGAACAAACACCAUGACCAAGGCAACACUUCUAAAAAGAAACAUUCAAUAGUGGCUGGGUAACAGUUUCAGGGGUUUAGUCCAUUAUAACAGGAAGCAUGGUAGCUGCAGGCAGACAUGAUGCUGAAGGAGCUCAGACUUCUACAUCUUGGUACAAAGGCAGCUAGGAAGAGGAUCUCACUUCCUCCAGAAAGUUCAUGCCUACUCGCACAAGGCCACACCUCCUGAUAGUGCCACUCUUUCUGGGUCAAGCAUCCAAACACAUGAGUCUAUGGGGGGCCACCUAUUCAAUCAGUCACAAUAGGAUUGAAGGCCUGUGUCAGCACACUAGCUCUAGUUAGUUUUUAUUACUGUGACAAGACACAAGGCAUCUUAUAAAAGAAUAUGUUUAAUCUGUUAUAUAGUUUCAGAGGAUUUCAGUCCAUGAUGGCAGAGGAGAGGUGUGGUGGGGGAACAGCUGAGAGCUCCCGACUUGAUUUGCAAGUAACAGACUGAGACACUGGGAAUACAGAAAGUCAAUUUUUAAAAGUUUUGAUAUAUAUAAUAUAUGUAAUAUUAAAUAUUAUUAUAUGUAAUAUAUAUAAUUUAUUUAUAAAGUACACUGUACCUGUCUUCAGACACCAUAACAGGACAUCAGAUCUCAUUACAGAUGGUUGUGAGGCACCAUGUGUUUGCUGGGAUUUGAACACAGGAGCAGUCAUUGCUAUUGACCACUGAGCCAUCUCUCCAGCCCAGUGAAAGUCUUUUAAAACCUCAGUGCACACAACAGUGGCACACAUCCUCCAUCAAGGCCACACCUCCCAAUCCUCUCUGAACAUGGCCUCAGCUGGAUUUGAAGUAUUCAUUCCCAUGAGCCUGUGUGGCUGUUCUCAUUCAAACCAGCACAGCAGUCACUGUGAAGUGUAAGAGGCCAGCAGGGUUCUGGAGAUGUGUCCAGUGCAGGCUGAGGGAAAUGCCCUCACACAGGGCACUCUGCUGAGUUAGGUCUCCCCCUUUGUCUCUGUCUCCUCCUGCUCAGCCCCUCUGUGUCUCUGUCCCUCAGGUCUCACCCCAUCUGUGCCCAGCUCCCCUACCUCCUGAGCUCUGCACUGACCCUGUCUCUUCCUUGGUCUCUGGUUUCUCUAUGGCGUCAGCCAGCAGCUGUGAGGCAGCUGUGUGGUUCCUGAGGCAAACAUUCCAAUGGUGGCUGGGGAGAUGGCUCAGCAGCCAGGAGCACUUGUUGCUGGUGCAGAGGAUCCAGGUUGAAUUCCCUCAGCACACGGUGGCUUCCCCCAUCUGUGACUUCAGUUCCAAGGGAUCAGUGGCUGUGCACCUACAUAUUUAUAUGCACAAAGAGGACAGGUCAUGAAAAUAAAAUAUAAAAACAUGAUUUUAAUAAUCCUGCCUGUCUUUCUUCUACACAUAGAGAGUGUGAGGCCAGGGGCGGAGGGCACAGUGCUGUUCAGAAUAGUGGACCACCAGCCAAUGAAAGGAGCUCUGUAACAGGAAGUUAGAGAUCGGUGAAAUAGUGUAUUGAAAUGACAGUUUGCAGAACAGCAUAAAUUAAAUAUACAAAAGAUCUUUCACUGUGUGGACCUGCUGUGCACAGAGGAACACGGCCUCAUCCCAGGGAGAAGACACAGUGUGUGCUGAUCUUUGUAAUUGAGCAGAUGUCAGUUUUGAUUCCCCAUGAAGACGAGAAAUUCUACUCAGACGGUCGAAUACUAAUUUAUAACAGACCAGGACAUCCAAACACCCAGAAUGUUCCUCAGAGAAAGGUGUCCCCUUUCCCCAUCUUCCCUCCCACUGCUGACCCUCCAGGUCUCACCUGUUGAAGAUGGAGAAGCGUCCCAUCCUUCUCCAAUAGCACCUCCUGGUGGAAGAAACAGAGAGGACUGAGUCUGAGCCCACGGAGCUGAGGGUAAAGGGGACCCAGGCUGGCUGAGCUGCCCCAGGGCUUCCUUGCUGUCUGUGCUUCUCCAGGGCUCUCAGGUCUCAUGCUGCCCUGCUCUCAUCACACUUACAUCCAGAAGAACUUUACAUGCUUUUCCAGCCGUGGGAAGAAAACGCCCUGUAAGAGGGGAGGCAGGAGGCAGAGCCCUGAGAGCUCAGAGGAGCUGCAAAGCCCAAGAGUAGGUGCAGAACUCUGACCUGGACUAUGAUGUUGAUUGUUUGAUGUCAGCUACCUGUGGGGUUAACUAAAACCCCAAAAUGGAGGUCAACAUCUGUGAGGCGGUUUUGCUUAAGGUGAAGUGGGAAGAUCAGUUUCUGAUCCUUUCCUUUGAUGGAGGAAGAGACACCUGUAAUCCUGAUUAUUUGAGUGGAGUCCCUCCCUGUUUCUAAUCUGGCCACACCUUCUGCUGGAGGCCUCAGUGUAGACAUGGAAGGAAUUGCUUGCUCUUUGUCUGCUUGCUCUUGCUCCUGCUCCAGCUCCUGCUGCUUCUGUGGGACAUUCCUGCCUGCCCGUCCUUGCUCAGCAUAAUGACAGCAGACUUACAUUUAUUUAUGGAGGCCUAGGCUUCAUGCUGGGCCUGUCCCAGCUUCUCCUAACUCAGUUAUCCCAUUUACACCAUCCUAAGUUCUGCCAUGUGGCUGCUCACCUCUCCUCAGAUUCACACAUCCCGACCCCUCUGAGUCUGGGUGGUGACUCCCCCAUGCUUCUCUCUUCCCAGAGUUCCUCCCUCUGACCACAAUCCUGCCUUCUGUUCCCCUUGGCUAUAGGACAUAGGCUUUGUAUCUCAUCCUUGAGAAGGUGCUUUAGGUAGGCAGGGUAGGACGGAGAGGCUUCCUCACACAGGGCACAACGACAUUACCUCAGCAUUGCCCCCGUUAGUCCUAUAAAAGGCAAAUCGUUCUCUGACAUCAUCAACUAUACACAGUGAGACCAAGGAUAAAAACAUAAUUAUAAACAGUUAACAAUUGUUAAUUCUCAUUAAGAAUUUCUAUUUAAUUAUUUAAAUGAUUAAGAAGUAUUUGAGGUUUGAUCAUCUGGACGAUUUGUCUUGUCUCCUUUGGUGUCUGGUCCUUUCCCUGUAAACACACUAACGUUUAUAGGUAACAUCCAUUUCUGCGUUAACACAUGCAUGGACUGUAAAGUGUACACAGUUCAGUUCAACAUGAUUCUGUUCUAUGUGCGAGAAGGAAAUGCAUCAGACUCUAUACGUCUGUGUGCGCAGUAUCCCCAAGCUGCAGUGUAAGCAUCCAGCCAUGCCAUGGGAAAGGGUGACUUGAGAAGCCAUGCACGCUUUGUGGCCACCGAGAUUCACUGGCUAUGCAUAGCGACACCCUGUCUGCAGACAUUCAUGUCUCAGCCAGUUUCAGAGCUGUUUCCAUGUAGAGGGACGAGAAUUCAUGUUUUGUUUUGUUUAUUUUAUGUUCUAUUUGUUUUCUUCCUUCAUUUUUGCAACCAAGAUUUUCAGGGGGUCUCCCCUGGUCAAAUGUAAUAUUUAUUAAUUUUGAGGGAAGUUAUAGCUUUUCUUCUCCUGUUGAAAGAAAGACAAAACAUCUCCCUGAACUCAACACACGUCCCUCCUUCCAUUCUGAGGGUCUCACAUAUAUCUGCUGACCUGGUCCAGCAGUCCUUCCUCAACUCCAUGUUUUUCAGGGCUGUGUUUCCUGUCUCUAGUCCUACAACCAGACUUCAGACAAAGUAGACUCCAGGAGGGGAGGUCGAGUGUGUAGUCCAUGAGGAGGAGCCUCUACUUCUGUGCACACAUGUGAGGAACUUGACAGGUUUGCUAAUUCACUAAGCAGAAGUCUGGGGAACGUGUGGGAGUGGAUUUUGAGGGUGUGGGAUAAUGACGGAAGGAACAUAAAAUUGAAUCUGGGUGAGAUUUUCAGUAUGGGAACACUGACUGGACAUUGGACUUUAAUCUGUGAUUUUUAACCUUUUAAAAAGGUGAAAAAGGGGGUGUUUGGGGAUUUAGCUCAGUGGUAGAGCGCUUGCCUAGCAAGCGCAAGACCCUGGGUUCGGUCCCCAGCUCCGAAAAAAAAAAAAGGUGAAAAAGGUUUGUUUGAAGGGUUGGCUGAACUGUUUAUCAAAAGAAGGUCUACUGAAAAGGGGUUGAAGAUUCAUUGACAGCCCUACCUUACACCUGACCUGGGAGAUAGUAGAGCCAGGAGGAGCUGACUGAGCAGAGAGGCUAGAACGGUUGUCACAGUCUGGAGCUGCUGUAAUUGGGACAUCUGGGAGAAGGGACUGUUUAAGUGCAGUGUCCGGAAUUGAGGGAGGAGUUGGGAGAAACGUUAGACGGGGCUGGGCUGGAUGAUGGAAGGAAUUGUUGGAAAGAAAUUAGAUUGACAGGUCUCUCUCAAUAUGUGUGUGUGUGUGUGUGUGUGUGUGUGUGUGUGUGUGUGUAUCCCUCUUUCUCUCUCUCUCUCCUGCUUCUUUCCUCUCUAGUCAUAGGGGAUAAAACCAGGAGGACAAAGGGUGGGGACAAAAGAACCAACAAAGUAAGGAAGACCAGCUACAUGGCUCUCUGUGUAUCCCUGGCUGCCCUGGGACUCACUCUGUACCCAAGGCUGGUCUCGAACUCACAGAUCUGCCUGCCUCUGGGUAUGUACAACCAAGGCUCAGGAAAUAUUCUUAAUCAAAUCACCACAGAAGCCUACUGAAUUUGUGUUUGGUCACAUAAGUGGGAAAAUUGUCAACAAAUGAGAGAAAGGCUAUAUACUAGUGGCCAAAGAGCAUCUUGUUUCAUGAAUCAGUUUCUAACCUUGAGACAGUUUGCAGAUGCAGAACUCCUUGAAUGAAUGAAUGGCCAGGUUACCCUGAGUAAGUCCCUUAUUAAACAUCUAAACUGUAUACUGCUAGCCUUUCUCCAGUGCUUUCCUAGUGGGACCUCAGGAGACCCAGGAUAACCAUACACUGGGGGGGGGGGGAGAACUAAUCAGACUUACCAGGCUCUAUUGCAUAUUGGCCCAAAUUAAUGCUGACUCCAGGAGCUCCCGGGAAACAUUAUGGUUCUUCAGUCAGAGUAGAGUGUUAUGGAGGGCCAGGGAUUAAUGAGGUUUUGGCUGAAAUCUGAAUCACAUCAGGCCCAGUGGGUUCCUGAAUUCAUCCUGUGGUUAUUUUUCCAGUCCCAGAAGGUAGAAUUGGGAUACAUGUACUUAGAGGUUGUCAGAAUGCUCACACUGGUUCCCUGACCUGUGGACUGAGGGCUAUCAUGGUUGGAAAGGGUAAGUGGAAGCCUUCAGAGUUCCCUCUGCCUAGGAAAAUAGUGAAUCAAAGACAGCAACACAUCCUUGUAGAAAUUUGAGAAAUCACUGGCACCAUCAAUUGUUAAGUCAUUCUCAUAGUCAAUCUGUCUUGCUCUGCACUGGCCUCAUAGGAGAUGUAUAGGGAGAUGUGGUCAGAACAACUUUUGAUUCUGGUAACAUAUGUAUGCUUCAGAGGGCUGAAAAAAAAGCCUACCAAAUAUUCAAAUCCUUUUAAUUCAGGGGAAUUCAGGAAUCCAGUGGAUGGGGCAGGCACAGACAUUCCAUCCAAGAUGAAGGAAAGGUUCCUGACCUGGCCCCUCCUACCACCAAGAAAGGAGCACAGGGCUUAAUUGUGUCUUUGGAUUCUGCAAACAGCACAUCCCUCACUUGGAUCUGUUACUCUGGCCCAUAAGCCUUCUGAAUCAGAGAGCUGCUAACUUCCUGUGGGUCCUGGGACAGGUGAAGACUCUUCAACAGGUCCCGGCUGUGGUUCAGGCUGCUCCAACAUCUUGGACCAUGUGAUCCAGCAGACCUGAUGGUACUUGAGGUGUCAGUGACAGAGAAGGAUGAUGUUUGGAGGAUUUGGCAGGCCUCUGUGAGGGAAUCACAGAAGAGAACUUUGGGAUUUUGGAGCAAGGCUCCACCAUCAUCUGCAGACAACUCUUCCCCCUGUGAGAGACAGCUCCUGGCCUUGGUGCAACCUGAACAUUUGACAAUGGGCCACCAAGUUACCAUGUGACCUGGGCUACCUAUAAUGGGCUGGAUGUUAUCUGACCCACAAAGUCAUAAAAUAGGACACACACAGCCCUGAGCUGUUAGCGAAUAGAAGUGGUAUAAACAUAAUCAGGACUGGACAGGUCCUACGGGCACAAGGAAGUUACAUGAAGAAUUUGCCCAACUGCCUCCUGUCUCUAGUCCUGUUACAAUGUCAUCUGCAGCCAAGCACGCACCUGCAGCCUCAUGAGCUGUGCCUUAUCCUUGCAAGACUGAGGAAGAAGAGACGAGGGCCUGUCUUGCUGAUGGCUGUGCAUGUUGUGCAGGCCCCACCAGACAUGGACAGCUGCAGCAUUUCCACCCCUUGCCUGUAGAACCCAAAGAUCAAUUCCUAAACAGGUCCAUUUUCUCUGGAUCCUAAUACCCAUUUUUUCCCACUACCUUUAGUGGGUUGUGGGCUUGAAGGGAGGUUAAAGCAUUUAAGAGACCACAUUAAAGUAAGAUGAGAAAAAUAUAAGUUUACAGUGCCAUCUCUGUGGAGCUGCUGGGCAAGGCAGGAGAGGAGGUGCUGGCACUAUGGACAACUCUCGUGAGACAGCUCCUGGGGUGGGAGUUUACCAAGACUGUAGGCUGAGGCAGGAAAGGAGUCACCAUUGUGAAUAGCCUCUCCUGACAACAGUAGGCUGAGGCAGGACAGGCGAUGCCCAACCAUCGACAGCUCCUGUAGACAGGGCCUCUGCCUAAUAUUAGGAAUGAAACAGCAAGUUUUGACAGCUCCUGUCGGGGCAUAUCACUGCAGGCUGGGGCAGAAAGAAGCGAUUUGCUGCACCUUUGAUGGAAUUUGCAGCUAACAGCUUAGAGUGUACAGAAUUGAACAUUGUUUGAAAAUAAAAUGCACAUUUUACAAGUGGUGCCAAAUGUGGGGCGAUGCAGAAUGGGGGGGGGUUAUUUCAAGUUCCUUAGAACAAAAGGCAGGAAAAGGAGGAGUGGAUACUUUGUUUCAAAAAGCCAACAGGGUGCUUACUGAGGCUGUUCUUGGGUCCUGCCCUGUACAGUUUUUAGCAGCCAUAUUUUUUCUCCUUUUUCUCAUUUUGUGCUAUUUUGUUUAUAAGAAGUUGAAAGAUUGUUGCUUAUCCAAGGAUUGAUAGGUUUCUUGUUUAAGUAUUGGUGGGUUUUCUGGGAAGUUCAGGGGCUGGUGGUUGGGGGGGGGAUUCUUUUUCUUUGUUGUUGUUCUUCCUUUUGCUUUCUGUUUUUUUUUUUUGUUUUGUUUUGUUUUGUCUUUUGUUUGCUCAGGGAUUGAUAGGUCUUUUUUCCUUUUCUUUCUUUCUUUCUUUCUUUUUUUUUUUUUUUCAGAUGCACUACCUUUCUCUGAACUGGCCCGAUGGGUUCAGAUAAGAAGUCCUUCCUGGCUGCAGGCAGCUUUGCUGUGGUGCCCUCUCUGUGGAGUUGCUGGGAGAGGCAGGAGAGGAGUUGCCCCCAACAUGGACAGCUCCUGUGGGGAGCUCCUGCUUCAGAAAAAAGCAAAUGAGCCACCCUGGACAGCUACUGGGAUGUCUUCAGGCUGAUGAGAGGCCUUGGUGUAGCCAUUUCCACAAGAGACACAAAUUUUGACAGUUCCUGUGAGGGCUUCUUAAAGCUGAGACAAGAAGGUGGGGCCUGGCGCUGGUUUGACCGAUUUUGCCGAGCACUGCUUAGGAACUACAUGGUGUAGUUUGGAGCCGCUGGUAUUGGGAAAACUGGGAGAAGGGACUGUUUGACUAGACUGUAGGAGAAUUGUGGGAGGAAGGGUUGGGAGAAAUGUUUAAAGAGGCUGGGUUGGAAACAGGCAGGAAAAAAGGAAUGGAUACUUUGUUUCAAAAAUCAACAUUUGUGUUUUCUAAGGCUUUUCUUGGGCCAUGCCCCACAUGUAUUUCCACGUCAGUUUUCUUUUCCACUCUCCAUCAUUUGGGACUAUUAUUUAUAAAGCGGAGGAAAGAUUUGACUGAGGAACUGGAAUAAAUAUGGGAAGAAAUGGAGAACCUUGGGAUUCAAAACAUGGAGGGAAAAAGGAAAACAGGAGGGUUCCUCUCUCUCUUCUGAGAAGUAGCAGAGUUGGCUGUGCAACUGGAGAAACUAACAGAGGUAGAAGAUUGCAAAAUGUCAAACACAAGAAAAGGGAGAACCAAUAGGCUCAUUCCCAGUGACUGGAGCAGAGAGAGGGAGCUUCCCCCAGGUAGAAAGAGAGGAAGAACCUGGGUCAGAGGGCGGUCAGGUCAAAGUGGAAAGCAGGAGGAUGGUCAGAGGAGACUGCCAUGUUUCAUGGACAGGUAUAAACCCACAGCACCUUUUGAGGACAGGCUGUCCUGGGUCACAGAAUCCCAACAGCAUUCCAAGUAGUUCCACCACAGCAUAUGCUGGCUAAUGGAGAUAAUCCACCCACACGGUUAUGACAAUACAGGAUGGGGUGCUGUACACAUGAUGGACCUAAGGCAUUUCAAAGACGCAUUGAUGUCCUAUGGCAUGCCCUUGUCCUAUGUGAAACAAACUCUAAAUAUUUAGACUACUUAGAAUUGAACUAUUCCCCAAGGCUGAGGAGGAUUGGUAACAGCUGUAGCAGAGGCUGGACCUCAAUGGUAAUGGUUGCCAUGAUGGAGUGAAGCCUCCAGGAAUGUGGAAGAGCACAGAGGAGGAGGGGAAUUAACACAGCUCAGGUCCACUUGAUCGGGGCUCUGCGCUGCUGUACAGGAACAGGGCAACUUGAGGAUCCAAUCUCAGAACAGUGCUGCUGAGCAGCUUUAAGGGCUGGGAACGGAGUGGAGGAGCCAGGACGGAAGUCCACAUCACUUAGAAAAAUUAUGCAAGUGUCGGGGGAAGCCUUCACUGACUUUCUUUUUUCUUUUGCAAGGAUUAGUUUCAACUGUGCACAAAGCCAUGUCAGACCCUGAUUCCAGACAAGUGCUCUCUGAGACCUUAGCAUCUGAAAAGUCUUCACCUGUGGCCAGCAGCUCUGCACGGUUACCCUGAGGCCUCUGGCUAUUUCCCGUUCCCUGGGUGUAGCCUAGCCACGGAGGCCCACAGUCACUCAGCAGCUCGAGAUGUUGGGAGGAGGUCGGCAUGCGAGUAGACUGUGAAUGGACACUUCCUGCAUUCAGGUCGGCGGCUAGUGCUUUGGUGGCGAGGCCAAGGCUCCCAAGUCCGCACACCUGUCCGAGCGCCUGCCAGGAACCAGUGCACUUUGUUUUGUAGCCUUCUUGGGCCACCAGGGCAACUAUGGCUGUCCUCACGCUGCCACAUUACAUCAGGCAGACACCAGGUGCGGCUCACGGGAGGCCACAAACUUUGAGCCCAGACAGGGCUGGGCUGUACACUCUAUGUACAAUGCAUCCACACAAUUAACUUACAUCCGAUUGAUAAGGGUAUUAACCACCCACGUAGAUAAGAUAAACCUGUCUACAGAAAUCCAUCCCUGAAGAAAUAUUCAUAACAACCUGUGUCUACAUAAAGAUACGUGGCUAGGAUCAUUUACGUCUGCCUCCAUGUUGCUUCUCCCUUUCUGCUCCCUGUCUUCUUCCCCAAUGAGAGGCCUCAUUUGAUCUUGUGUCUGCCUUCACCUGCAUACAUGGCCAAGAUCUGCAAUGUUGGCAAUCACGAGGCCUUCUCAGAGAAGAGAGCCAGGAAGGAGAAAGGAUAUCAUGAAGACAGAGAGGUGAGUGGUGCAUUUAACUCUUUUUCUUGUUGUUGGAUUUCUGCAAGAAUGGUGGUUUGUACUUGGACAAGAGAAGGCCAAAUACAGACAGAGCUGCUAGGCCAGGUUGUGUCUCUUGUCAUAUACAUGGCUCCCUUGACUGGUGUACUCCAGUGAGGAUCGAGUGGAUCUCAAACAACUCAUGUACAGCCUGCGGGUGUGCGAUAAAAACUGUGGCCCUGAUAAGGACCUUGGAUAAUAAUCUCAUCAUUUCUUAAGGUCCUAACAUCAUGGAUUCUGCAUGAAUGAUAGGGACAGCCCAUGUUCUCCUCAAUCCAUCUGUCUAUGCAGUAGGAACGUUGCUGAUCAGACAAAAAAGCACAAGACAGGAGCAACUUUUCCAGGCCGUGUCUUAAAAUCUGUAAAAUGUAACAUUUUAGCAGAUUGGCAUCCCACAGGUGGGCCAUCAGCCACGGCUCUGAGACAAUCAUAUCUCUGAGGUUUAGCAUGGUUAGUAUAAUUUCCUGUCAGGAAAAAAACGCCAGGCAAACGGGGAAGUUACCUCCCUUUCACCUGGUGCUGAAGCCUCACAAGUGAUUUUCAUUGGCUCAAAGGACCACCCAAAGGAACAUCACCAGCAAGCCGAAUUCAAUCGUUUUCCUGAAAAGAAAAAGAACACGUAUUCUCAGGGAAGAGGUUAUUCCCUGGAUUUAUUAUCAUUAUCGAUUUGUUUUACCAAUCGCUCUGGCGGCCAUCUGGCUGCUUCAUUUUCUUGAGAAGAAAUACAGACUGACCUUCUCCCCCAGGUAAGCACUGGCUCGGGUCCACGCCAUUUUCAUCUAAAGGAUCUUUCCAUUUGACCGAGGCAAACUGUUUUUGUGAAUUAGGGUGCCAAAAGCGAUCUGCAGCUGACUUUUUAUCACCAUCCAAUUUUAAAAAAAUUAAAAUAAGGGCAUGGUUCACUAUAUUUCUGGGGGUACCCUUCAUAGGGUACCAUUCUCCCUUUUUAAAUUUUUUCAGUAGUGGUUUUUAAAGACAAAUGUGCUCUUUCUACCAUGCCUUGUCCUUGAGGAUUACAGGGAAUCCCUGUAAGAUGUGCGAUGUGUAACUGUGUACAAAAUUCUUGAAAAGCCUUUGAGAUAUAACCUGGACCAUUAUCAGUUUUAAUUUGUUAGGGAAGCCCCAAGACAGAAAAGCAAUGUAGUAGUGGGCACUGACCUGGUUGCUGGCUUCCCCAGUUCGUAGGGUAGCAACAAUGAACCCACUAUAGGUAUCUGUACAAACAUGAAUAUAUUGUAAAUUACCAAAUUCUGAGCAGUGUGUGGCAUCCAUUUGCCAGAUUGUAUUUGGUACCAAGCCUUUGGGAUUGACUCCCAAGUGUGGAGUUGGGAGGUGAGUCUCACAGGAAGGACAUUGUUUGACUCCCUGUCUGGCUCGUUCUCUGUAAUAUCAAACGUCAAUCUUAAUGUGUGAGCAUUUAAAUGAUGGAAAUGCUGUCUGCAAUGACAUUUAAAUGAUGUCUGUGCCCGGUGAAGACUUUCAGGUACGCCAGGGGAGGCGGUGGCUAUGAACUUAGCGGCCCCAUCUGCCACUUCCUUGCCUCGGGUCAAAGGUCCUGGCAGACCAGAAUGGGCCCUAAGGUGUCCCAAGUAACACUUCUUGGUCCAUUUUUGGAUAAGUUUUUUGACAACUUAAAAACAAAGUGGCUGUUUCCAAGACAUUGAAUGUGUCCCACAGGUUCUAACAGAGUGUGGGAUGGGCUAGGUAAGUGCUGUCCAUAUAAACAUUCAAGGAUUCCUCAGGAGAGGCAGAAAGGACUGCAGCACUGGCCUGUAGUUCAACCACUCAGGCGGAGGAGUUUUGAGUCUGGAAUUUAACUAUUUUCAUCUUUAAAGUACAGGCUGCAAUGCCGUUAGAGGAUCCAUCAGUAAACACCAGUCAAGUCUCACCUAAAGGAUCUUUACUAAUAAUUUGGGGACAUAUAAGAGCAUGUGGCUUACAAAAUUGAAUUCGCCUGUCAGGUGGACGAUGGUCGUCUAAAUCUCCUGCCUGAGGCCCAGGCAGCAGGCCCUGUGUCUGUGUCCUGUGAAAGCUGGUCCACCUGAGGUCGGGGGUGAGGCUGAAUAACUUCUUGGCUCAAUUCCAAAGUGUUUUCUAGCGUUCUCUCUUCCUAAAAUAAUGACCUCUGAUACAGAAUCACAGUAAGGUAAUAAAAUCUCCUUCCGGGAAGAAGGUAAAUGGAUCCACACCAUAGGGUUACUCUGCCAAAUAAGGCCGGCUGGUGUCACGGUCAGCUUAAAUGUGAUGAGCACCAAAGGUUGAUGAUGAUUUGUAUGAGUGACAAAUUGUUUGGCAAUGGCAUCCUCGACCUUUUGCAGUGCCAAAGGUGCUGACUGAGAAAUUGAUCUUCAGGAUUUAGGGUCAGGAUCUCCUUUGAAUACAUCAAACAAGGGUUUUAAUUCUCCAGUAGUUAAGUUUCAAAUAAGGUCGAAGCCAAUUAAUAUCACCCAACAAUUUUGGAAGUCAUUAAGAGUGUAUGAUUGAUCCCUGAGAAUGGGAGCCUUUUGAUGAAUUAUCUUUGGUCCGUUCGUUUGGAAUCCCAAGUAAGUGUAGGCUCCUGUAACUGAACCUUUCCUGGAGCUAUUGGAAACCAUGAAGCUGCAGGCCUUUUGUCAGCUGGGUAAGGCAUUGUAAACCCUGUCCACCUUCGUGUUCUGCUAUUAAUAUAUCAUCCAUGUAAUGGACAAUAUGCAUGCUUAUCCAAGAACCUCUGAUUGUUUGUAUGGCCUUAGCAAGGUAUUUUUUGGCAUAGGGUGGGACUAUUGGCCAUUCCUUGAGGCAAGACUCUCCAUUGCUAGCGCCUUGUAGGUUCUUUAAAAUCUAUAAAUGGUAGACUAAAGGCAAACCUUUUCUGAUAUCACAUCAGGAUAUAAAGGAAUUGUAAAAAAGCAAUCUUUCAAAUCAAUUAUUACCUUAAAAUAACCUAGAGGUACUACAGGAGAAGGCAGUCCAGGUUGGAGGGCACCCAUGAGUACCAUGGUAGCAUUCACAGCUCUUGAAUCUUGUAACAGCUUCCAUUUGCCAGACUUUUUCUUAAUAACAAAGAUAGGAGUAUUCCAUGGAGAGUUACUCUCUUGAAUAUGUCCUGCUUCCAAUUGUUCCUGCACUGAUAAUUGUGCUAAUUGUAGUUUUUCAGCUGUUAAAGACCAUUGAUCGACCCACAUGGGCUCAUCAGACUUCCAGAUAAUUGGAUCAGCAUACUCUUGGGGUGCAGGCAGGUCAAUGGCCGAAAUAAAAAAUUUCCCAAUCCAUUUUCAUCCUUCUGGCCUGUGGCUGAGAUAGGUUGUAGGGCCGUUUUCUCGCUCUCCCAAUUCUUUACUGGUGCUGUGUCCCUGGGCCAACAUCUGAGCAGCAAUCUCCUCAUUAGGAAAGCAAGACCCUCCCCCAUGAAUUCACAGGCAAAUGAGGAAUUACAAAAGGAUUAAUGAGGCCUGAAUUAUUUUCCUUAUCUCUCCAAGUAAGGUAUUUUGAACUUUUCUCAGGUUCAUACUCUGAUCAAUCCCUCUCAAGUUAGUUAAUGUCUCUACAGUAGGCCAAUGGGAGGGCCAAUCUCCUUGUUUAAUAACAGUCACAUCGGCUCCCAUAUCAAUUAAUCCUGUAAAUAACUUUCCAUCUAGCCAGAGUCUGAGGGAAGGUUUCUGAGCAGUCAUCUCCUGUACCCAGUAAAUAUUUGAUGAUCCAAAACCCCCAUCUCCUCUUUUGGGAUGUUGUAUUUUAUUGUCAGUUUUCAUUAGGGGAAGCAAUAUUAACUGAGCUAUCCUCUCGCCCUGGGGAACUGUCUACUGCUUAUAAUACUGUCUACUGCUUUGGCCGUGACUUUUAUUUCCCCUGUAUAAUCAUUGUCUAUGGCUCCGGGAUAAAUCUGCAGCCCUUUCAUGGUCACGCUGCUUCUUCCUAUAAUCAAUACAAACGUUUGAGAUGGCAGCGGACCAUAGAUUCCAGUAUUGAGAGCCUGAGCCCCCAUCUCCAGGGUCAAUACUGUGUGGGAGGGGGAACAGAGGUCCAGUCCCGCACUCCUGGGGUUGAUUUACUAAGUUUUGAAAUGGAUUUUUGAAGUUGGCUGGAACAAAGCUGACUGCCCCACAGACUUGUUUCGGGGCCCAGGGCUGGCCCCUCCCUCUGUUUCCCUGAUGAUGUAUUGUGUUCCCUUCAGCCUCCCUCUUUGAUCUGCAGAAAUUUGCCCAAUGUUUUCCCCAUUUGCAUAUUGGACAGAGGCCAGGAGCAGGGAGAUCAGAUUGUUUCCUAAUUGGAUCUCCGGAACAAUCCUUAGCAUAAUGUCCUGCCUUACCACAUUUAAAACACCCCCGUUUAUUUUCGUCUCUGUUGGUGAUGAAUUCUUUAACAGUCUGUCCACCAAAGGCUGCAGCCAUAGCAAGACCCUGUUGAUAUGAGGGUCCGAUAUCUGAACAGAGGCGGAUAUAACCUGUCAAAUCAGUCUUCUUUCUAUAGCAUCUGAUAUCCGCCUGGCAGGCUGGAUUGGCGUUUCCAUAGGCCAAUUGUUUCACAGGAUCAACACCUGCCUCUGUACAUCCAAACACACGACCUGCAGGAGUCCUGAGCCUGUGUACAAAGUCUGCAAAAGGCUCAUCUGGUCCCUGUUUCGCCCCAGUAAGUGAAGCUCCUGGAUUCCCUUUAACAGGGAGUUUUCUCCAGGCCCCAGUGUCUGCCGCUUGAACUUGAGCGACAGCCCAGGACCACAUUGCAUCUGAGAAUCAUUAAUAUCAUAAUUGCCUGAUCCAGUCAGCUCGUCAAAGGUCCAUCCAUCACCUGCCUGAGCAUUCUUCUUGACAGUCUCUCUACAAUGUUCAAAACAUUCUGACUUCCAGAGAAGAUGGUCACCUCCUGUCAGUAUGGCAUGGACUAGUGUAUUCCAGUCCCAGGAGUGAGCCAGUUUUCGGCCACUGAUUCUAAAAUGGCCAGAGUGUAAGGAGCAGAAGCACCAUAUUGGGCCACAGCAGCUUUUAAUUCUUUGAUAAUUCUCAAGUCAAUUCCCUGGUGAUGUCUCCAAGGCUGUCCCUGAGCAUCUACACUUUCUGUAACCAGGAAGGCUUCUAAGACAUCUGUGCUUUCAUUUUCAUGGUUAGGAUUCACACGCAUCUUGCCUUUUGGUACGGAUGGUCCAGGCUGCUGUGGAGGGCGAGUUGUUUCUGCUUUUUUUUUUUUUUUUUUUUAAUUUAUUUAUUAUGUAUACAUCAUACAGCUUUCUGCCUGCGUGUAUUCCUGCAGGCCAGAAGAGGGCACCAGACCUGAUUAUAAGUGGUUGUGAGCCACCCUGUGGUUGCUGGGAUUUGAACUCAGGACCUCUGGAAGAGCAGACAGCGCUCUUAACCUCUGAGCCAUCUCUCCAGCCCUGUUUCUGCUUUUAAGCUUGUAUCUGUCACAGGCUCAUCCCGUUUUUAAUUUUUGUAGCUUGUUAAUCACAGACUGAUAAAGUUCCUCUGGCUUUAUUUGUUGCUCAAGAUAAGUGAUUUUUGAUUUCAACUCUUGCUUGGGGUCAACAACCGCCAUUACAGUAGGCGCAGAGACCUGAUUAUAAGGAGGUGGCAGAGAUAAUGGCAGAAGCCAAUUGGGGUUGUGGUAUUUGGCUUCCUCAUCUUCUAAGGAUUCCCAAUUCACUUUUGCUGAUUUUGGGUCAUUUUCAUUGUCGAGGUCAGACAGAUCUUUAAGAGGAGGACAUUUUUUAGGUCUCACAUCUGGCUUGAGUCUAAUAUCAGAUUUUUCUCUUUCAUCAUCUUGUGAACCUUUUUUCUGUCCUCAGGCACCCCGUGUCCCCCUUGUGCACCCUCAUCCUCACUUUCUAGGGAAAUUAGGUCGAUUUGCUCUUCUCCCCGUGUUUUGACCUUAUUGGUCUUGGAGGAAUCUUUCAGAAUCUCCUCAGUUUGUGAAGUCACAGCUAUUACUGUCGGGCAAGCCUCCUUUUUAUCUAUUAAUUCUUUAAUUAGAUUCCAAUAAGAGAAAGCAGUCACAGGAACCUUUUCAGGCCCAAAAGUGUUAUAGAAAUCUUUAAGAGCAUCUCCUACUCUAUUCCAACUUAUAAUAUCGAUAGUUCCCUCUUGAGGAAACCAUGAGCAAAGAUCCUUAACAAAAUCAAAAUAUUUAAAUAAAUCAUUGGUUUUUACCUUUCUCCUCACAGGUUUAAUGCCCCUUUUAACUGUCUCCAUAGACCUCGUGUUGGCUUAAUGCUUGUCCCAUAAUAAGACUCUAUCACUCACUGUGGCAGGCUCCCAUGGCAUGCGAUGGUAUUUCUACAUACAACCCUGGCUACCUGAGUCUUCUUCCUCAUGGAGCCCCCUCUACUAUCCAGGCACCAGACAUUGGGCGCCAAGCGUCCUAGCCCACGGGAACAUCAACGGAGACCUUGGAGAGGGGAGUGGGAAAGGAUGGGACAAGAGGCAUGAGAAAUGGAGACAAGAAAUAUUCUGAGCAAUUCUCAUGUAAUCAAGCAAAAACCACUUGUUUAUAGGCAGAAAAAAAUCACACAACAGAAACUGGUAGUCAGGGUAACGAUAAACAAACGUCACAUCAGAAACCAACGGCAUAAGUUUUGAUUUCCCAGAAACUUCUUACCUACAAUAAAUUUCAAUAUCCUGAAAUCUCUGACUAAUAAUAGAGUGAAACUCACUCUUGUGUAGAAGCAAGCUAGCAGAAGUCUCCAGUAUUCUUGGCCGGUGGUAACCCCCAUGUAUGCUACUUGGAAACCAGGGCCCAUUAAGUAGAAAACACCUAGCUCAGGCAAAGAAAGGCAUAAGCAGGGCAGGUGGCCCCAGACAAGGUGGCAGAGCCAAGGCUGAGUCCAUCAAAGAUAAAAACUGACUGAGCACAUCGGGGCACAGCCCUGUUCACACUCAGCUCCCACCACCUCAUCCUGUCCCACCAGAUACACACAGCUUAGUGACACAGAUUCUGGAAGCUUCUCCAUCUGCCAUUUAUUUUUUUU